UACGAAGGGUGCAAGCGUUACUCGGAAUUACUGGGCGUAAAGCGUGCGUAGGUGGUGAGUUAAGUCUGUCGUGAAAUCCCCGGGCUCAACCUGGGAAUGGCGAUGGAUACUGGCGAGCUAGAGUGUGUCAGAGGAUGGUGGAAUUCCCGGUGUAGCGGUGAAAUGCGUAGAGAUCGGGAGGAACAUCAGUGGCGAAGGCGGCCAUCUGGGACAACACUGACGCUGAAGCACGAAAGCGUGGGGAGCAAACAGG
rnacentral:rRNA from 1 species